rnacentral:lncRNA from 1 species
UUUUGAUUGGCUAAUACGAGGGUGUCAUUUUACUCUAUCACAUAGCUGAGAGGGUGACAAUUUUUUUGAAUGUUACCCUCUCGUCUAAACCAAUCAAAAAUCGACAAUUUAAAGGACAAUGGAUUGAAUUUACACCAAGUAGUUAAAUACAAUGCUUAAGUUUUACGUUUUGGAUCAAAUUUUAUUAUUUAACUGUCAAAAUAAA